ACGACCUACGGGANAAAGGGGGGCAAACGUUGUUGCUCUCGCUAUUAGAUGAGCCUAAGUCGGAUUAGCUAGAUGUGGGGUAAAGGCCUACCAUGGCGACGAUCUGUAGCUGGUCUGAGAGGAUGAUCAGCCACACCGGGACUGAGACACGGCCCGGACUCCUACGGGAGGCAGCAGUGGGGAAUAUUGGACAAUGGGGGAAACCCUGAUCCAGCCAUGCCGCGUGUGUGAAGAAGGCCUUUUGGUUGUAAGCACUUUAAGCAGUGAAGAAGACUCUUCGGUUAAUACCCGGAGACGAUGACAUUAGCUGCAGAAUAAGCACCGGCUAACUCUGUGCCAGCAGCCGCGGUAAUACAGAGGGUGCAAGCGUUAAUCGGAAUUACUGGGCGUAAAG
rnacentral:rRNA from 1 species